rnacentral:rRNA from 1 species
AGAGUUUGAUCAUGGCUCAGGACGAACGCUGGCGGCGUGCUUAACACAUGCAAGUGGAGCGACGAACCAGGGCUUGCCCUGGGGCAAAGCCGCGAACGGGUGAGUAACACGUGGGUAACCUGCCCCGAUGACCGGGACAACCCGAGGAAACUCGGGCUAAUACCGGAUGAGCUCCUGUCACAUGAGUGACUUGAGGAAAGGAAGCUUCGGCCUCCGUAUCGGGAUGGGCCCGCGGCCCAUUAGCUUGUUGGUGAGGUAACGGCUCACCAAGGCUUCGAUGGGUAGCUGGUCUGAGAGGACGAUCAGCCACACUGGGACUGAGACACGGCCCAGACUCCUACGGGAGGCAGCAGUGGGGAAUCUUGCGCAAUGCGCGAAAGCGUGACGCAGCAACGCCGCGUGCGGGAAGACGGCCUUCGGGUUGUAAACCGCUUUCAGUUGGGACGAAGCUCUUCCGGUGAAUAGCCGGCUGGAGUGACGGUACCUUCACAAGAAGCCCCGGCUAACUACGUGCCAGCAGCCGCGGUA